rnacentral:rRNA from 1 species
AUUGAACGCUGGCGGCAGGCCUAACACAUGCAAGUCGAGCGGAUGAAGGGAGCUUGCUCCUGGAUUCCGCGGCGGACGGGUGAGUAAUGCCUAGGAAUCUGCCUGGUCGUGGGGGAUAACGUCCGUAAACGGGCGCUAAUACCGCAUACGUCAUGAGGGAGAAAGUGGGGGAUCUUCGGACCUCACGCUAUCAGAUGAGCCUAGGUCGGAUUAGCUAGUUGGUGGGGUAAAGGCCUACCAAGGCGACGAUCCGUAACUGGGCUGAGAGGAUGAUCAGUCACACUGGAACUGAGACACGGUCCAGACUCCUACGGGAGGCAGCAGUGGGGAAUAUUGGACAAUGGGCGAAAGCCUGAUCCAGCCAUGCCGCGUGUGUGAAGAAGGUCUUCGGAUUGUAAAGCACUGUAAGUUGGGAGGAAGGGCAGUAAGUUAAUACCUGGCUGUUUUGACGGUACCAAAAGAAUAAGCACCGGCUAACUUCGUG